GGGAUGAGAUGCUAGCCUUAGCGCAGAAGAUAAAUCAUUGAACCUUAGGUCACUACCGAGCAGCAAUGUAGGAUCAUAACUGCCUGUACUGCCGAGAUGAUCCCUACUUGAAAGGGCGGAGACAGAUUGUUGCGACAAAUCGAGUUUCAAAAGCCCAUUUAUCAAUCACAUUUUCAGGCACACCAGUCAAAGAGCCAUCGGACCUGUGAAAGUCACAUCUUUGACUAAUAUACACGGGCUUCUGAGAGGAUGUCCUGUUUAAGCAGCAGCCAAGGCGCCAAGACCCGUUGUUGACAAAUCAGGUCAAAAGCCCAAUAUAACGCAUUUGGAGGGCACGGCGGUACAAGGAGCCAAGCCAUCAGAAUCAGACCCGUAAAGGUCUCGUUUUUGACAAUAAACAUGGGCUUCUGAGAGGAUUCUUU
rnacentral:lncRNA from 1 species